AUUGAAAGCUGGCGGCAGGCCUAACACAUGCAAGUCGAGCGGAGCGGCGGACGGGUGAGUAAUUCCUAGGAAUCUGCCUGGUAGUGGGGGAUAACGUCCGGAAACGGGCGCUAAUACCGCAUACUAUCAGAUGAGCCUAGGGCGGAUUAGCUAGUUUGUGGGGUAAAGGCCUACCAAGGCGACGAUCCGUAACUGGUCUGCGAGGAUGAUCAGUAAAACUGGAACUGAUACACUGUCCAGACUCCUACGGGAGGCAGCAGGUGGGAAUAUUGUGCAAUGGGCGAAAGCCUGAUUCAGCCAUGCCGCGUGUGUGAAGAAGGUCUUCGGAUUGUAAAGCACUGUAAGUUGGGAGGCGUUACCAACAGAAUAAGCACCGGCUAACUUCGUGCCAGCAGCCGCGGUAAUUC
rnacentral:rRNA from 1 species